GGUAAUAGCUAAAAUUGUAAAACUGUAAAUUUUAUUUCAUUUAGUAAAAUUUUACCA
rnacentral:tRNA from 2 species